CCACUUCUCCGUGGCUUCUGGUGCCUGCUGGUGGCGCCCAAAAGUGGGGACUGGACAUGGAGAGAUCAUCUGAAGACACUGUCUUGGUGGAGCUCCACAGAAAAUGGAAGAAGAUGGUAUCCUGCAUGCACCAGUCUGCCACUCAGGUGUAGCCCGUCCAUGUGAGCUGCUGGACGGCUCACAACAAUUUGGCGCCUGGACUGGGACCUGAAGAAGUUCAGUAAGACGCUGAAGGAACACUGUUUUGUGUGGAGCUCCACGGGAAGAAAAAAAAAGGAUCAUAUUGGACACCUAAGCAACAGGUCAGCCACACCAUCCAGCCUGACUGCAGCAGGUGUACAGUCUCGCCUCCAACAGUGCAGGUGGCAGUUAUUAAUCUUCAUCAAGAAGCAUUCUAAGUACAUAUUGUGGCUUUGGUCUGAAUUGGGAAUAAGGUGUGCUAAUGAGGGCAGGACAGUCAAUGAUGGGCACCCAGAUCUCGGAACCAUAACAAUCUAAGACAGAGGUACAUGCCAAAAGGCCAUGGCUGUUGAUAACACACCACAGAGCCAUGUUUGUGUGAAAUAUAACACAAACUAGCUGCAUGUAGCCUCCAAGAUGGAAUUGGAUGGUUCGGAAAGAUCUAAGAUCUCCUAAGACAGCUGCGGCUGCCAGCCACCAUAAUUCUCAGGCAGGACUAUGGAGCAUAAAUAAAUUUUGUGCCUCAUUCCA